rnacentral:misc_RNA from 1 species
GUAGGUGAACCUGCGGAAGGAUCAUUAAAGAGAAUAUGCCCUUCGGGGUAGAUCUCCCACCCUUUGUUUAUAUUACCUUUGUUGCUUUGGCAGGCCCGUCUUUGGACCACCGGCUUCGGCUGGUCAGUGCUUGCCAGAGGACCCAAAACUCUUAUUAUUAAUGUCGUCUGAGUACUAUAUAAUAGUUAAAACUUUCAACAACGGAUCUCUUGGUUCUG